CAGAUUGAGGAAAUUGAUGAAGCAAGGAAAAAAUUCUCUAAUGCUAAGGCGAUUUCGUCAUCUCAGUUUUUUGGUACUCAAAACAGAGAAGAGAAAGAGGCUCAGCUAUCCCUUCAUAAAUCCGCGGGUUCUUCAUCCAUUUCAAGCUCUGAUCUUUUUGGCCGUACCAAUGUGGACGAUUCUAACCUGGACCUAAGCGAUGCAGAUCUCAUCAACAUAAUAUCUUUCCAGGCGUCACAGGAUCUGUCUUCACUCAAGGACAUAGCUGGAGAGACUGGAAAGAAGCUGACAUCUUUCGCCUCCAAUUUCAUCAGCGACCUGGACAGAAUCCUUUGAGCAGGCGAGGCCAUGCCAGCAAAGCAUUUUUCCUACCUUGCACCAGAAUUUCCCUUCUAGCUUGGAUUAGGUCGCGGACUCGCGGGUGCAUCACCGACAGUUGAAAGUAGUUCUUGCAGAGCUACAGCUCUGUAGAGGAUUCCUAUUACGCGUUUGUAUUUUGAUCUUUGUUGUGAGAAUUGAAGGUAUUUUUAUUCAUGAAUACUUCACAACGGUGAAGCGUACACUACAGUUUACAUACGUUGAGGUUGCUUGUAUCUUGGAAGGAAGGUUCAUACUA